AUGGUGGCUGUGGCGGACGGUGCCGAGACAUGGUGGCUGUGGUGGACGGUGCCGAGACAUGGUGGCUGUGGUGGACGGUGCCGAGACAUGGUGGCUGUGGUGAACGGUGCUGUCGAGACAUGGUGGCUGUGGUGGACGGUGCCGAGACAUGGUGGCUGUGGUGAACGGUGCUGAGACAUGGUGGCUGUGGUGAACGGUGCUGCCGAGACAUGGUGGCUGUGGUGGACGGUGCUGAGACACGGUGGCUGUGGUGAACGGUGCUGCCGAGACAUGGUGGCUGUGGUGGACGGUGCUGCUGAGACAUGGUGGCUGUGGUGGAUGGUGCCGAGACAUGGUGGCUGUGGUGAACGGUGCUGCUGAGACAUGGUGGCUAUGGUGAACGGUGCUGAGACAUGGUGGCUGUGGUGGACGGUGCUGCUGAGACAUGGUGGCUGUGGUGAACGGUGCUGAGACAUGGGGCUGUGGUGAAUGGUGCUGCCGAGACAUGGUGGCUGUGGUGAACGGUGCUGCUAAUGUGUCUGGAAUUGGUGGAUUCUUGGUCUCACUGACUUCAAGAUUGAAGCCGCAGACCCUCGCAAUGAG
rnacentral:lncRNA from 1 species